UCCUGCCCUUGGCUGCCUGCUCAGCUAACAGCACUGGUCUUGUGACAUCCCGCUCAGAUGGCAGCACAUAUCCGUGUGUUUAAAAAAAUAUGUUAUCUUUACAGCAUUGCUCCAGUAAGAUGACACCCAGAAUACCAGGUACUGAAGAUAAGCAACAGAAGAACUGAAGAUUUGGGGCUGAAUGUGCAUAGAAGUACAUGCAUUCAAGUCCUGGGUUAACAACUUUUCCAAACGUCAUGAGAGCAGCAGUUUGGAGACACAGGACAAAUGCUCCUCCAAAGAGGUGGAGGAAGAGAAGAAAACCCUUCCCAUCUGCACUGAGAGCAUGGGAGCCAAGUUUCUGCCUGGAACGAUCUGAGGGGCUGAUGUACAGUUAUCCAGAAAUACAGCAUUUCAUCAUCUACUUCAAAGGACUACCACGGAAAGAGAGCAAAAGCAACUUACAUUUUCCAGUUCUGUUUUGGACUCAUGGCAUAACACCAGUGAAAUGGGAAAUAGCUAAUGACUGCUUGUUCUGUUCUUCUAAAUUUUGCCAUUUUGUCUGCUCUCCCCAUUUCUCUUUAAGCACUUAUUUUUCUUCCUUCCCCCACGUUGCAAUUAAUGCUGAAAAACCUACAAGACUAGGGAAGUCUACUUUUUUAUAUAAAACUACUUUGUUUAGGUCUUAUAAUUCCUAGAAGGAAUUACCCAGGCACUCAAAUUAAAGUCAGGCCCACAUCAUAUCUGCACCCUAAGUUUUAUCUGGCAGUGUUCAAGUAUUUUGAAAGUCAUGGGAAAUGAACAGACCUUGAAAAAAUAUGGAUAUCCCAAAUGUUGAUAUCAUUGCUGUAAACUUUUUCAUUGCUCUGGUAUUUGGAGUACUCUACACUGUUUAAUUUGGGCUAUUAACAUUCCAAAUGAAAGUAGCAAGAACUCCACCAUGAGUUUAUCUUUCUUUGAGUAAUCUUAACAUGCACCUAAGUCUCUGGUUAAGUUUCCAAGAACCCCAUGUCAUGGUUAUAUUUCACAAGCACAUUAUCUACCCUCUCUGCUUUAGCCAUUUUACUUACACUGCCUAAGUGGCCCCCCUGGAAGCACUUACCUCUCUCCAGUGACUAUGUAGGGAGCUUGGUCUUAUAAUUUUUCUCUUUUACAUCAGAGCAAAAUUAGAUCUUAGAGCAGACAAAACCAAAUUAUGCCAAUACGUCCAACAGCAUCAAGUUAGAGUUUUGAUCCUUUAAAUCUUAUUCAUGCAAGUAAAUCAUGGUCAUGGAGUGGAAAAGAAGAGAAGCUGUGUUAUUAAAGGUCACGGGACCAGGGCUUCAGAGUAUCUAUGGCUUUCGAAUUCCCAUGCUCAAGCUCUUCCCCCUGUUGCUAUAUUUCAGCCAAUUUCUAAGCAAUAUUUUCAGCAUAAUAAAAUCCUGAACUUCAAAGCAGGCUCUUUUUUUUUUUUUAACAGAUGUAGCGAAAGCACAGUUACAAAAAUAAACAUCAACUAAUAAUGUAAUAAUGAUGGAAAGGGCAAGAUUCAAUAUAGUUCAAAGAGGUUCAGUUCAGCAUUACCUCUUUGCUACAAACCACAUAUAAAUACAUACACACACGGAGGCACUAAUAAAAAUUGCUACACAGAAUAUACCCUUAGCUAUCCAGUCCCUCCACUUUAUUGCCUGCUUAUGCACUAUAUGCAGUAAAGCCUCCUGGCAGUAAUUUAAUAAUUCAGUGAAUACUUACAAUAAAGAUACUGAAGAAUGGGAUUUGAAAGUCUUCUUUCUCAGCACCAACAGUUUCAGCUGACUUCACAUUCAAGCCUGACGCAUCAGAACAGUAGAGCAUAGGGAAAGUCUACAUUUUCUUGACUAUAAGCAAUUACUAGGCUGCUACUAUUGAAAUGCUAGGAUGACAGAACUACUUCAUAAGUGAGAAGCUGCAAAAUGUUGCUGAACAGUAGAAGUCUCGAGCUCAACCACCUGAUACGCAUUUGAUGAAUGUUUUACUUUCCCUCAGUUUAUUGAAAUUAUCUUUCAACCUUUUUCCCC
ensembl:lncRNA